rnacentral:lncRNA from 1 species
AUUUUGUAUGAUAUAAAUAUGGCUACUCCUGCUCAUUUCAUUUUCAUUUGCAUAGAAUAUAAUUGUCCAUCCCUUUAUGUUCAGUCUAUGUCACUUUACAGGUGAUGAGUGUUUUUUAUAGGCAAUAGAUCAUUGGAUCUUGUUUUUUUUUUUUUUUUAACGAAUUAGCCACUCUAUGUCUUUUGGUUGGAGAGUUUAGUCCAUUUACAUUCAAUGUUAUUAUUGAUAAGUAAAGACUUACUCCUGUCAUUUUAAAAUUUGUAUCCUGAUUGUUUUGUGGUCUUCUCUUCCUUCUUUCCUGUCUUCCUUUAGUGUAGGUGAUUUUCUCUGGUGGUAUGUUUCAA